rnacentral:rRNA from 1 species
GUGGGGAAUAUUGGGCAAUGGGGGCAACCCUGACCCAGCAACGCCGCGUGAAGGAAGAAGGCUUUCGGGUUGUAAACUUCUUUUACCAGGGACGAAGAAAGUGACGGUACCUGGAGAAUAAGCCACGGCUAACUACGUGCCAGCAGCCGCGGUAAUACGUAGGUGGCAAGCGUUGUCCGGAUUUACUGGGUGUAAAGGGCGCGUAGGCGGGAAUGCAAGUCAGAUGUGAAAUACCGAGGCUUAACCUCGGGGCUGCAUUUGAAACUGUGUUUCUUGAGUGAUGGAGAGGCAGGCGGAAUUCCUAGUGUAGCGGUGAAAUGCGUAGAUAUUAGGAGGAACACCAGUGGCGAAGGCGAAUUGCUGGACAGUAACUGACGCUGAGGCGCGAAAGCGUGGGGAGCAAACAGGAUUAGAUACCCGUGUAGUCC